rnacentral:rRNA from 1 species
UUAAAUUGAAGAGUUUGAUCAUGGCUCAGAUUGAACGCUGGCGGCAGGCCUAACACAUGCAAGUCGAACGGUAACAGGAAACAGCUUGCUGUUUCGCUGACGAGUGGCGGACGGGUGAGUAAUGUCUGGGAAACUGCCUGAUGGAGGGGGAUAACUACUGGAAACGGUAGCUAAUACCGCAUAACGUCGCAAGACCAAAGAGGGGGACCUUCGGGCCUCUUGCCAUCGGAUGUGCCCAGAUGGGAUUAGCUAGUAGGUGGGGUAACGGCUCACCUAGGCGACGAUCCCUAGCUGGUCUGAGAGGAUGACCAG